GCAAGUCGAACGGUAACAGCAGAGCUUGCUCUGGCUGACAAGUGGCGGACGGGUGCGUAACGCGUGGGAAUCUACCUUGUAGUGGGGGAUAGCCCGGAGAAAUCCGGAUUAAUACCGCAUAAUCUCUACGGAGCAAAGUGGGGGAUCUUCGGACCUCAUGCUAUUAGAUGAGCCCGCGUUAGAUUAGCGUGUGGGUGAGGUAAUGGAUCACCAAGGCGACGAUCUAUAGCUGGUUUGAGAGGAUGAGC
rnacentral:rRNA from 1 species